rnacentral:rRNA from 1 species
GGGUUGUGAGGUUAAGCGACUAAGCGUACACGGUGGAUGCCCUGGCAGUCAGAGGCGAUGAAGGACGUGCUAAUCUGCGAUAAGCGUCGGUAAGGUGAUAUGAACCGUUAUAACCGGCGAUUUCCGAAUGGGGAAACCCAGUGUGAUUCGUCACACUAUCAUUAACUGAAUCCAUAGGUUAAUGAGGCGAACCGGGGGAACUGAAACAUCUAAGUACCCCGAGGAAAAGAAAUCAACCGAGAUUCCCCCAGUAGCGGCGAGCGAACGGGGAGCAGCCCAGAGCCUGAAUCAGUGUGUGUGUUAGUGGAAGCGUCUGGAAAGGCGCGCGAUACAGGGUGACAGCCCCGUACACAAAAAUGCACAUGCUGUGAGCUCGAUGAGUAGGGCGGGACACGUGGUAUCCUGUCUGAAUAUGGGGGGACCAUCCUCCAAGGCUAAAUACUCCUGACUGACCGAUAGUGAACCAGUACCGUGAGGGAAAGGCGAAAAGAACCCCGGCGAGGGGAGUGAAAAAGAACCUGAAACCGUGUACGUACAAGCAGUGGGAGCACGCUUAGGCGUGUGACUGCGUACCUUUUGUAUAAUGGGUCAGCGACUUAUAUUCUGUAGCAAGGUUAACCGAAUAGGGGAGCCGAAGGGAAACCGAGUCUUAACUGGGCGUUAAGUUGCAGGGUAUAGACCCGAAACCCGGUGAUCUAGCCAUGGGCAGGUUGAAGGUUGGGUAACACUAACUGGAGGACCGAACCGACUAAUGUUGAAAAAUUAGCGGAUGACUUGUGGCUGGGGGUGAAAGGCCAAUCAAACCGGGAGAUAGCUGGUUCUCCCCGAAAGCUAUUUAGGUAGCGCCUCGUGAAUUCAUCUCCGGGGGUAGAGCACUGUUUCGGCAAGGGGGUCAUCCCGACUUACCAACCCGAUGCAAACUGCGAAUACCGGAGAAUGUUAUCACGGGAGACACACGGCGGGUGCUAACGUCCGUCGUGAAGAGGGAAACAACCCAGACCGCCAGCUAAGGUCCCAAAGUCAUGGUUAAGUGGGAAACGAUGUGGGAAGGCCCAGACAGCCAGGAUGUUGGCUUAGAAGCAGCCAUCAUUUAAAGAAAGCGUAAUAGCUCACUGGUCGAGUCGGCCUGCGCGGAAGAUGUAACGGGGCUAAACCAUGCACCGAAGCUGCGGCAGCGACGCUUAUGCGUUGUUGGGUAGGGGAGCGUUCUGUAAGCCUGUGAAGGUGUACUGUGAGGUAUGCUGGAGGUAUCAGAAGUGCGAAUGCUGACAUAAGUAACGAUAAAGCGGGUGAAAAGCCCGCUCGCCGGAAGACCAAGGGUUCCUGUCCAACGUUAAUCGGGGCAGGGUGAGUCGACCCCUAAGGCGAGGCCGAAAGGCGUAGUCGAUGGGAAACAGGUUAAUAUUCCUGUACUUGGUGUUACUGCGAAGGGGGGACGGAGAAGGCUAUGUUGGCCGGGCGACGGUUGUCCCGGUUUAAGCGUGUAGGCUGGUUUUCCAGGCAAAUCCGGAAAAUCAAGGCUGAGGCGUGAUGACGAGGCACUACGGUGCUGAAGCAACAAAUGCCCUGCUUCCAGGAAAAGCCUCUAAGCAUCAGGUAACAUCAAAUCGUACCCCAAACCGACACAGGUGGUCAGGUAGAGAAUACCAAGGCGCUUGAGAGAACUCGGGUGAAGGAACUAGGCAAAAUGGUGCCGUAACUUCGGGAGAAGGCACGCUGAUAUGUAGGUGAAGCGACUUGCUCGUGGAGCUGAAAUCAGUCGAAGAUACCAGCUGGCUGCAACUGUUUAUUAAAAACACAGCACUGUGCAAACACGAAAGUGGACGUAUACGGUGUGACGCCUGCCCGGUGCCGGAAGGUUAAUUGAUGGGGUUAGCGCAAGCGAAGCUCUUGAUCGAAGCCCCGGUAAACGGCGGCCGUAACUAUAACGGUCCUAAGGUAGCGAAAUUCCUUGUCGGGUAAGUUCCGACCUGCACGAAUGGCGUAAUGAUGGCCAGGCUGUCUCCACCCGAGACUCAGUGAAAUUGAACUCGCUGUGAAGAUGCAGUGUACCCGCGGCAAGACGGAAAGACCCCGUGAACCUUUACUAUAGCUUGACACUGAACAUUGAGCCUUGAUGUGUAGGAUAGGUGGGAGGCUUUGAAGUGUGGACGCCAGUCUGCAUGGAGCCGACCUUGAAAUACCACCCUUUAAUGUUUGAUGUUCUAACGUGGACCCGUAAUCCGGGUUGCGGACAGUGUCUGGUGGGUAGUUUGACUGGGGCGGUCUCCUCCUAAAGAGUAACGGAGGAGCACGAAGGUUGGCUAAUCCUGGUCGGACAUCAGGAGGUUAGUGCAAUGGCAUAAGCCAGCUUGACUGCGAGCGUGACGGCGCGAGCAGGUGCGAAAGCAGGUCAUAGUGAUCCGGUGGUUCUGAAUGGAAGGGCCAUCGCUCAACGGAUAAAAGGUACUCCGGGGAUAACAGGCUGAUACCGCCCAAGAGUUCAUAUCGACGGCGGUGUUUGGCACCUCGAUGUCGGCUCAUCACAUCCUGGGGCUGAAGUAGGUCCCAAGGGUAUGGCUGUUCGCCAUUUAAAGUGGUACGCGAGCUGGGUUUAGAACGUCGUGAGACAGUUCGGUCCCUAUCUGCCGUGGGCGCUGGAGAACUGAGGGGGGCUGCUCCUAGUACGAGAGGACCGGAGUGGACGCAUCACUGGUGUUCGGGUUGUCAUGCCAAUGGCACUGCCCGGUAGCUAAAUGCGGAAGAGAUAAGUGCUGAAAGCAUCUAAGCACGAAACUUGCCCCGAGAUGAGUUCUCCCUGACUCCUUGAGAGUCCUGAAGGAACGUUGAAGACGACGACGUUGAUAGGCCGGGUGUGUAAGCGCAGCGAUGCGUUGAGCUAACCGGUACUAAUGAACCGUGAGGCUUAACCUUACAACGCCGAAGGUGUUU